rnacentral:tRNA from 1 species
GAGAAAAUGGCCGAGAGGCUGAAGGCGCUCCCCUGCUAAGGAGUAUGUUUUAUAGCCGCAUCGAGGGUUCGAACCCCUCUUUCUCCGCCA